CGGCGGCCAGCUCGGCGAGCGCGUCGUUGCGGUCGGCGUCGACGGGGUGGCCGUGGUCGGUCAGCUCCACCGCCACCGUC
rnacentral:tRNA from 1 species